CUAUGAUGCCCUUAGGUGUUCUGGACCGCACGUGCGCUACACUAAUGUAUUCAACGAGUAUAUAGCCUUGGCCGACAGGCCCGGGUAAUCUUGGGAAAUUUCAUCGUGAUGGGGAUAGAUUAUUGCAAUUGUUGAUCUUCAUCGAGGAAUGCCUAGUAAGCGCGAGUCAUCAGCUCGCAUUGACUACGUCCCUGCCCUUU
rnacentral:rRNA from 1 species